GGCUCAGAUUGAACGCUGGCGGCAUGCCUUACACAUGCAAGUCGAACGGCAGCACGGGAGCUUGCUCCUGGUGGCGAGUGGCGAACGGGUGAGUAAUGCAUCGGAACGUGCCCUGAAGUGGGGGAUAACGUAGCGAAAGUUACGCUAAUACCGCAUAUUCUGUGAGCAGGAAAGCAGGGGAUCUUCGGACCUUGCGCUUUUGGAGCGGCCGAUGUCGGAUUAGCUAGUUGGUGAGGUAAAGGCUUACCAAGGCGACGAUCUGCAGCGGGUCUGAGAGGAUGAUCCGCCACACUGGAACUGAGACACGGUCCAGACUCCUACGGGAGGCAGCAGUGGGGAAUUUUGGACAAUGGGCGCAAGCCUGAUCCAGCCAUGCCGCGUGAGUGAAGAAGGCCUUCGGGUUGUAAAGCUCUUUCGGCCGGGAAGAAAUCGCAUGGGUUAAUACCCUGUGUGGAUGACGGUACCGGAAUAAGAAGCACCGGCUAACUACGUG
rnacentral:rRNA from 1 species